UACGGAGGGAGCUAGCGUUGUUCGGAAUUACUGGGCGUAAAGCGUGCGUAGACGGUAGCGUAAGUCGGAUGUGAAAGCCCGGGCUCAACCUGGGAAUUGCAUUCGAGACUGUGUAGCUAGGGUGCGGAAGAGGGAAGCGGAAUUUCCGGUGUAGCGGUGAAAUGCGUAGAUAUGGAAGGAACAUCAGUGGCGAAAGCGGCUUCCUGGUCCAGCACCGACGUCAGGCACGAAAGCGUGGGGAGCAAACAGG
rnacentral:rRNA from 1 species